rnacentral:rRNA from 1 species
GAUGAACGCUAGCUAUAGGCUUAACACAUGCAAGUCGAGGGGAAACGGCAUUAUGUGCUUGCACAUUUUGGACGUCGACCGGCGCACGGGUGAGUAUCGCGUAUCCAACCUGCCCUUUACUUGGGGAUACCCCGUUGAAAGACGGCCUAAUACCCGAUGUAAUUCAUUGAUGGCAUCAGAUAUGAAUAAAAGAUUUAUCGGUAAAGGAUGGGGAUGCGUCUGAUUAGCUUGUUGGUGAGGUAACGGCUCACCAAGGCGACGAUCAGUAGGGGUUCUGAGAGGAAGGUCCCCCACAUUGGAACUGCGACACGGUCCAAACUCCUACGGGAGGCAGCAGUGAGGAAUAUUGAUCAAUGGGCGCAAGCCUGAACCAGCCAAGUAGCGUGCAGGAAGACGGCCCUAUGGGUUGUAAACUGCUUUUAUACGAGAAUAAUUUGAUGCACGUGUGCGUUAUUGCAUGUAUCGUAUGAAUAAGGACCGGCUAAUUCCGUG